CCCUUAGAUGUUCUGGGCCGCACGCGCGCUACACUGACGAUGGCAACGAGUUUUUCCUUCGCCGAAAGGUGUGGGUAAUCUUUUGAAACAUCGUCGUGCUGGGGAUAGAUCAUUGCAAUUUUUGAUCUUGAACGAGGAAUUCCUAGUAAACGCAAGUCAUCAGCUUGCAUUGAUUACGUCCCUGCCCUUUGUACACACCGCCCGUCGCACCUACCGAUCGAAGGUAAUGAUGAGCCCUCAGGAUUGUGGCCUCGUCGCGUCAGCGUCUUGGCUGCGAGAAUCUGUGCAAAUCCCUACCUUUAGAGGAAGGUGAAGUCGUAACA
rnacentral:rRNA from 1 species